AUACGGAGGAUGCAAGCGUUAUCCGGAUUUAUUGGGUUUAAAGGGUGCGUAGGCGGGACUGUAAGUCAGGGGUGAAAUACUGCAGCUUAACUGUAGCAUUGCCUUUGAAACUGCCGUUCUUGAGUACAGUUGAGGUAGGCGGAAUGUGGUGUGUAGCGGGGAAAUGCAUAGAUAUACCACAGAACGCCGAUUGCGAAGGCAGCUUACUAAGCUGUUACUGACGCUGAGGCACGAAAGCGUGGGGAUCAAACAGGAUUAGAUACCCUGGUAGUCCACGCUGUAAACGAUGAUUACUGGUUGUUAGCGAUAUAUAGCUAGUGACUGAGCGAAAGCAUUAAGUAAUCCACCUGGGGAGUACGUCGGCAACGAUGAAACUCAAAUGAAUGGGCGGGG
rnacentral:rRNA from 1 species